CCUACGGGAGGCUGCAGUGGGGAAUAUUGCGCAAUGGGGGAAACCCUGAUGCAGCAACGCCGCGUGAGCGAUGAAGGCCUUCGGGUCGUAAAGCUCUGUCCUAAGGGAAGAAUACUGACGGUACCUUAGGAGGAAGCCCCGACUAACUACGUGCCAGCAGCCGCGGUAAUACGUAGGGGGCUAGCGUUAUCCGGAAUUACUGGGCGUAAAGGGUGCGUAGGCGGUAGGGCAAGUCAGAUGUGAAAGCCCGGAGCUCAACUUCGGGACUGCAUUUGAAACUGUAGGGCUUGAGUGCAGGAGAGGAGAGUGGAAUUCCCAGUGUAGCGGUGAAAUGCGUAGAUAUUGGGAGGAACACCAGUUGCGAAGGCGGCUCUCUGGACUGUAACUGACGCUGAGGCACGAAAGCGUGGGGAGCGAACAGGAUUAGAUACCCCUGUAGUC
rnacentral:rRNA from 1 species